rnacentral:rRNA from 1 species
AUUGAACGCUGGCGGCAUGCUUUACACAUGCAAGUCGAACGGUAACAGGGUGCUUGCACCGCUGACGAGUGGCGAACGGGUGAGUAAUGCGUCGGAACGUGCCGAGUAGUGGGGGAUAACGCAGCGAAAGUUGUGCUAAUACCGCAUACGUACUGAGGUAGAAAGUGGGGGACCUUCGGGCCUCACGCUAUUCGAGCGGCCGACGUCUGAUUAGCUAGUAGGUGAGGUAAAGGCUCACCUAGGCGACGAUCAGUAGCGGGUCUGAGAGGAUGAUCCGCCACACUGGGACUAAGACAAGGCCCAGACUCCUACCGGAGUAAGCAGUGGGGAAUUUUGUAAAAUGGGCGAAAGCCUGAUCCAGCCAUGCCGCGUGUCUGAAGAAGGCCUUCGGGUUGUAAAGGACUGUUGUCAGGGAGGAAAUCCCUAGUGCUAAUAACACUGGGGGAUGACAGUACCUGGAGAAUAAGCACCGGCUAACUACGUGCCAGCCGCCGCGGUAA